UGUCUGGGUUAACAGCUUAUGCUGGUUUUUAUGAGGUUGGUGCUCCUAAGAAAGGAGAUUAUGUGUUCGUUUCAGCAGCUUCUGGUGCAGUUGGUCAGCUUGUUGGCCAAUUCGCAAAGUUGUCAGGUUGUUAUGUGGUUGGAAGUGCUGGAAGCAAAGAAAAAGUGAGCUCCAUUCGAUGAUUUUUCUUCCCUUGACUGUAAUGUUUUUCUUUUAUCUGAUUUUACUUUGUCCAUUUUAAGGUUGAUUUGUUGAAGAACAAGUUUGGAUUCGACGAGGCUUUCAAUUACAAUGAAGAACAGGACUUGGAUGCAGCUUUGAAAAGGUACUUUCUUCUUUCUAUUAUUGAGAUUGAAACAUAAUACACACCAUUACAAAGAAUUAAUCAAACCCAAUUGUUGGAAAAAUGCAGAUAUUUUCCUCAAGGAAUCGAUAUAUAUUUUGAAAAUGUUGGUGGUAAGAUGCUGGAAGCAGUUCUGCUGAAUAUGAAAUUUGGGGGACGCAUUGCUAUGUGUGGAUUGAUGUCGGAAUAUGGGUUAGACAAGGUUUAUGGAGUAAAAAAUCUAACGCAAAUAGUUUACAAAAGCCUCCGCGUGGAAGGAUUUCUAGUUGCCAAUUACCUGCACCUAAUUCCUAAGUACCACGAAAUGAUAAUACCAAAAAUAAAAGAAGGGAAGAUUGUUUAUGUUGAAGAUAUUGCCGACGGUAUAGAAAGCGGUCCGGCGGCU
rnacentral:lncRNA from 1 species